ensembl:snRNA U6 U6 spliceosomal RNA
GUGUUCGCUUCAGCAGCACAUAUACUAAAAUUAGAAUGAUACAGAGACGAUUAACAUGGCCCCAGUAUAAGGAUGAUAUGCAAAUGCAGGAAGCGUUUCCUAUUGUU